rnacentral:lncRNA from 1 species
CAACAAUCAUAGAACAAGGAAUCACUAACACUUUAAUUUACAACUUGGCUUCAUGGUUGCCUUUCGAGUGAAUUUUAGAGGUACCUGUACCACCCCUGACUGUGUUUGCUAGUGACAGAGACAUGGUUGUUGCAUUAAUGGAUGUCAUUCCUGUAGCCUUCACCAAGUAUACGGAUGGGGAUGCAUACAAAGGUAUGUCAAUUGGUAUUGGUAUGUUAUGCAGAUCACAUUUACCAACCUCCUCCCUUAUCUCUUCAAUGAAUAUCCCAUAGGCCUCUACAUUAUGGAGAAGACUUCACACUCCCUAUACCUCUGAUGAAUAUAACAGGAGACCUGUUCGAUCACCAUGCACUGCUAAAUCAUUGUGGCUGUGGAUAUGGAGAACAUCAACACAUUAACGUCAACACACCAGAGGAUAAACCCAUUGGACUUGGGGCUCU